UUCGUGUUUCAACAAUUUCACACGCUAUUUCAUCACUAAAUUCACUUCUGAGAACGUUUGAUGCAAAAAAUCAACUGUGUAGAUUUCAAAUAUUGGCAUUUUAAUGAAAAUGUUAAAAUGUGCUCAAACGUUUUCGGAAGUGAGAACCUCCGCCUGCGGGUGUAGCUAGCGAGCCAACCGGCCAGUCACGCUCACAGACCGUUGCAGCAGACGACGGCUGAGUGGCAGACGAAAGCCAGACCCACAGCUGGACAUCUGAGGAAACCAACGGGCGUACGAGGCUCUCUUCACUGGUCGGAGGAAUUCCCCCAAAAAUGGAUGGGAAGUCUGACCCAAACAAGCUGUGAAGAAUUGGAACAACCUACCACCCACACAUCUUUCAGUAAUGUAGUGGGACUGAUUUAAGCAAGAUUUACCAAGUUAAUAUGCACUUAUUUUGACUGGUGGAGUACACGUAUCAUACAGACGCAAAGGGCAAGGACAUGCCUUAUCAAACACUUUUUGGAAACUGUAAACUAAACAACAUAUCCCAACUUUUAAAAAAAUUUAUAUUCUAUGUUGUAUUUAAACUUCAUCAUUACUGCAUGAUAUCUUAAAAUAACUGUUGUAUAACUUGACAUGAAGGGAAUUUACACAGGUUAGCGUUGCAGCAAACAUUUAUGAAGCCAGUCAAACUGUAGAAACGCUUUAGGACUACAAAUAUAUUCAACAAUCGUUUUCACCAGCCAGCGAGCAGGAGCCAGCAAACAGGAGGCAGCAAGCAGGAGCCAGCGAGCAGGAGGA